CUGAGCAUGAGAAGCAAAAUGGUAUAGUAGAUAACAUUCUAGAUUUAGAAUCAAGAAGAUUUGACUUCAAAUCCCUACUCAGACAUUAACUGUGUGACUGUGGAUAACACAUUCGCUUGCUGAAAGCAGAUGUUACCACUGUUAAGAUGUCAAGACAAGUCAGUUCCAAAUUGAACCAUUCAAACUCUGAUCAAUUGGUUAAUCUCCAGGCCCCAAACAUCUCUUUCCUCCUCAGAGACACACCGAGGUUGCUUCGAAAUUACAGAUCAGGAUUUCCUGUAAAGUACAUCAGUCAACGUGGUAAUGGGGUACUGUCUUCAUAUUUCUAGGGACUCCAGAGAGACUUUAAAAUUAAGUAUAAAAUGCAGAUCCAUUCAUUCUGAGCAA